rnacentral:rRNA from 1 species
GACGAACGCUGGCGGCGUGCUUAACACAUGCAAGUCGAACGGUAAGGCCCUUCGGGGUACACGAGUGGCGAACGGGUGAGUAACACGUGGGUGAUCUGCCCUGCACUUCGGGAUAAGCCUGGGAAACUGGGCCUAAUACCGGAUAGGACCACUGCCUGCAUGGGUGGUGGUGGAAAGCUUUUGCGGUGUGGGAUGGGCCCGCGGCCUAUCAGCUUGUUGGUGGGGUGAUGGCCUACCAAGGCGACGACGGGUAGCCGGCCUGAGAGGGUGGCCGGCCACACGGGGACUGAGAUACUGCCCAGACUCCUCCGGGAGGCAGCAGUGGGGAAUAUUGCACAAUGUGCGCAAGCCUGAUGCAGCGACGCCGCGUGAGGGAUGACGGCCUUCGGGUUGUAAACCUCUUUCAGCACCGACGAAGCGCAAGUGACGGUAGGUGCAGAAGAAGGACCGGCCAACUACGUGCCAGCCGCCGCCGUAA